rnacentral:rRNA from 1 species
GACGAACGCUGGCGGCGUGCUUAACACAUGCAAGUCGAGCGGUAAGGCCCUUUCGGGGGUACACGAGCGGCGAACGGGUGAGUAACACGUGGGUGACCUGCCCUCAGCUCUGGGAUAAGCCCGGGAAACUGGGUCUAAUACCGGAUAUGACUCCAUGACGCAUGUUGUGGGGUGGAAAGCCUUGUGCGGCUGAGGAUGGGCCCGCGGCCUAUCAGCUUGUUGGUGGGGUGAUGGCCACCAAGGCGACGACGGGUAGCCGGCCUGAGAGGGCGACCGGCCACACUGGGACUGAGAUACGGCCCAGACUCCUACGGGAGGGCAGCAGUGGGGAAGUCUUGCGCAAUGGGCGAAAGCCUGACGCAGCGACGCCGCGUGAGGGAUGACGGCCUCGGUUGUA